UACAGCAGGCAGGUUUCUUUUGAAGAGCAGUCAUGCCAGUUUAUCAGUAAAAAAAAAAAAAGAAGAAUCCGCAGUCCUCUCUGUAAAUCUCACAGAUCAUUAGCUUUGUUUUUCUCUUUGUGGAAUUAUCAAGUGGAGUCCCAUCAGUGUGAACAAUGGUCCUACGAAGAUCAGAGGAAUCAUAACAAGCAGCUAUUUUUGAAUUGGGACAAGGACACGUGCCAUUAUGUGUCAUCGCCAAGGUCUGGUUUAACGCUACAGCCGUCCACGCCUCCCUGUCCUUCAACCCUGCAGUCAAACGUUCCUGCUGUAGGUUGGGUUGACUCUGUGCCAUAGAGAGAAUCCACAAGCUGGAAGCUGAAGGUCAGAGGACGAGCCGAUGUCAGGUCGUUGGAGCCGAGGAAAGUGGAGAUGAUGCCGUUCUGGUCCACCUUUCUGAUCGUA